UACGUAGGCAGCAAGCGUUGUUCGGAGUUACUGGGCGUAAAGGGUGUGUAGGCGGUUGCUUAAGUUUGGUGUGAAAUCUCCCGGCUCAACUGGGAGGUGCGCCGAAUACUGAGUGACUAGAGGUGCGGGAGAGGAAAGUGGAAUUCCUGGUGUAGCGGUGAAAUGCGUAGAUAUCAGGAGGAACACCGGUGGUGUAGACGGCUUUCUGGACCGUAACUGACGCUGAGAACACGAAAGCGUGGGUAGCAAACAGG
rnacentral:rRNA from 1 species